rnacentral:misc_RNA from 1 species
UCGCAUCAUCAAAUCUUUUCCCUCCCCUUUCCCUCUCCUUUUUUCCGGGAGAGUAUGCCUGUUUGAGGGUCAGCCUAUAAAAAAUCGACAUCGUUGCUUUUUCGCUUUUUCUUUCGUCGGAAAUUGGGUCAUCUUAAAUCUUUUGGUUUUAAGCGACUUAAAAUUUUCUUUUUGGUUCCAUGAACGUUUCCAAGAUUUAUUUCUUUACACUUUUAAGGUAUCGAUUUUUAUUCUAUGUGGCCCUCAUAUCGGAUCUCGCCCAUCCUCUUUCAUUAACUGACCUCAGACAGGUAAGAGUAC